GUAGGUGGCAAGCGUUGUCCGGAAUUAUUGGGCGUAAAGCGCGCGCAGGCGGUCCUUUAAGUCUGAUGUGAAAGCCCACGGCUCAACCGUGGAGGGUCAUUGGAAACUGGGGGACUUGAGUACAGAAGAGGAAAGCGGAAUUCCAAGUGUAGCGGUGAAAUGCGUAGAGAUUUGGAGGAACACCAGUGGCGAAGGCGGCUUUCUGGUCUGUAACUGACGCUGAGGCGCGAAAGCGUGGGGAGCAAACAGGAUUAGAUACCCUGGUAGUCCACGCCGUAAACGAUGAGUGCUAAGUGUUAGGGGGUUUCCCGCCCCCUUAGUGCUGCAGCUAACCGCAUUAAGCACUCCGCCUGGGGAGUACGCCGCAAGGCUG
rnacentral:rRNA from 1 species